rnacentral:rRNA from 1 species
UGGCUCCAGAUUGAACGCUGGCGGCAGGCUUAACACAUGCAAGUCGAGCGGAAACGAAGAUAGCUUGCUAUCAGGCGUCGAGCGGCGGACGGGUGAGUAACGCGUAGGAAUCUACCUAGUAGUGGGGGAUAGCCCAGAGAAAUUUGGAUUAAUACCGCAUACACUCUACGGAGAAAAGCAGGGGAUCUUAGGACCUUGCGCUAUUAGAUAAGCCUGCGUGGGAUUAGCUAGUUGGUGGGGUAAAGGCCCACCAAGGCGACGACCUUUAGCUGGUCUGAGAGGAUGAUCAGCCACAUUGGGACUGAGACACGGCCCAAACUCCUACGGGAGGCAGCAGUGGGGAAUAUUGGACAAUGGGCGAAAGCCUGAUCCAGCCAUGCCGCGUGUGUGAAGAAGGCCUUAGGGUUGUAAAGCACUUUCAGUAGGGAGGAAAAGUUAGUCGUUAAUAACGGCUAACCCUGACGUUACCUACAGAAGAAGCACCGGCAAACUCCGUGCCAGCAGCCGCGGUAAUACGGAGGGUGCGAGCGUUAAUCGGAAUUACUGGGCGUAAAGCGCGCGUAGGCGGCCUGAUAAGUUGGAUGUGAAAGCCCUGGGCUCAACCUGGGAACUGCAUUCGAUACUGUCUGGCUAGAGUAUAGUAGAGGGAAGUGGAAUUCCGAGUGUAGCGGUGAAAUGCGUAGAGAUCUGAAGGAAUACCGGUGGCGAAGGCGGCCCCCUGGAUUGAUACUGACACUGAGGUGCGAAAGCGUGGGUAGCAAACAGGAUUAGAUACCCUGGUAGUCCACGCCGUAAACGAUGUCUACUAGCCGUUGGAAUCCUUAGAGGUUUUAGUGGCGCAGCUAACGCAAUAAGUAGACCGCCUGGGGAGUACGGCCGCAAGGCUAAAACUCAAAUGAAUUGACGGGGGCCCGCACAAGCGGUGGAGCAUGUGGUUUAAUUCGACGCAACGCGAAGAACCUUACCUACUCUUGACAUCCUCGGAACUUAGCAGAGAUGCUUAGGUGCCUUCGGGAACUGUGAGACAGGUGCUGCAUGGCUGUCGUCAGCUCGUGUUGUGAAAUGUUGGGUUAAGUCCCGUAACGAGCGCAACCCUUAUCCUUAUUUGCCAGCGGGUCAUGCCGGGAACUCUAAGGAGACUGCCGGUGACAAACCGGAGGAAGGUGGGGACGACCUCAAGUCAUCAUGGCCCUUACGAGUUGGGCUACACACGUGCUACAAUGGCCGGUACAGAGGGCUGCAAACCCGCGAGGGCAAGCUAAUCUGAGAAACCUGGUCGUAGUCCGGAUCGCAGUCUGCAACUCGACUGCGUGAAGUCGGAAUCGCUAGUAAUCGUGAAUCAGAAUGUCACGGUGAAUACGUUCCCGGGCCUUGUACACACCGCCCGUCACACCAUGGGAGUGGAUUGCACCAGAAGUAGCUAGCUUAACCUUCGGGAGAGCGGUUACCACGGUGUGGUUCAUGACUGGGGUGAAGUCGUAACAAGGUAGCCG